rnacentral:rRNA from 1 species
UACGUAGGGCGCAAGCGUUGUCCGGAAUUAUUGGGCGUAAAGAGCUCGUAGGUGGCGUGUCGCGUCUGCCGUGAAAGCCCAUGGCUUAACUGUGGGUCUGCGGUGGAUACGGGCAGGCUGGAGGCUGGUAGGGGCAAGCGGAAUUCCUGGUGUAGCGGUGAAAUGCGCAGAUAUCAGGAAGAACACCCGUGGCGAAGGCGGCUCUCUGGGACGGUACUGACGCUGAGACGCGAAAGCGUGGGGAGCGAACAGG